AUUGUAAACUAAUAUGUAAUGGCCGUUUAAUAUCUGCCAAGCUUGUCCCAGUCUCUCUGGUGUAUGCAUUCGUUCAUCCAGAGAUGGAAGCAUGGAAUUCACAAUUUGGCUUGUCAAUGCCCAGGUAGCCAUGGUUGGCACAGGCCUUCAUAGAUCACUGCCAGUAGUGAUAAUUGAUUGACACUCCAAACAGCCCUCAGUGACUACAAUGGCUAGACCUCAUUCAUACCUGGCAUUGCUUGACUUGUGCAAACAGGGCAUGGUAGUAUACACAUUUAAUAAGACUUAUUGAAAUUCCUGUUCGUUUUGUUCCUGUCUAGAUUUCCUUUUUUUGAGGGUCGAUGGAGUCCAGACUGAACCUAUAAAAAGCUUUGCCUUGUGACGUGCCAAGUCUUCUUUCUACAUCUCUACCUCUCCGGGGUGAGCUACUCCAAAUGACGUGCCUUUCUUUCCUAACUUCAGAAUACUUUUUAUACACUGGCAGCCACUAAUCCGAAAAAUAAAAAAAGCAUUUCGUGGUAACAUUGUCUCUUGUGCAUCAUGAACACAUUAUUUGGUAUUUUAACUUGAAUUUGCAUAAAACAUAGAAUUAUUUACUAAACUGGAGAUUGUAAACAUUAAACCAUAAUGAUUCCUUUAUUCAAUCCAUGGUUUGGUGAACAUACUCUGGGUGCUCAGUGCAAAGCACCAACAAACUCCCACAGCACUAUGGGUGGUUUAACAAAUAUGUAAAUGUAAUCAGACAAGUUGGGACACACAGGAACAGAGCUCAAUAAGUUUAUAUGUUAGAGGGACACAAAGGGUAAGGUUAGUGCAGAGGGAAAGCUAUUGGCAGUUUAAGUAGAGGGAGGUUCCACGGGAAUGGUGCAGCCCUAGGGAAGUCUUGCAGACAAGCUUUAUAUUUGCGAAUAGGAACAGAGGAUAGACGUAGAUCUCUGGCAGUGUAUGGGCAUAGACGGGACAUAAUUGUG